rnacentral:misc_RNA from 1 species
GAUGAAGAACGUAGCGAAAUGCGAUAAGUAGUGUGAAUUGCAGAAUUCAGUGAAUCAUCGAAUCUUUGAACGCACAUUGCGCCCUUUGGUAUUCCGAAGGGCAUGCCUGUUCGAGCGUCAUUAUCACCCCUCAAGCCCUCGGCUUGGUGUUGGACGGUUUGGUGGAGGCCCCCUCGGGGGCUCCUGCCCCUCCCAAAGACAAUGACGGCGGCCUCGUUGGACCCCCGGUACACUGAGUUCUUCACGGGACACGUAUCGGACACAUGGGUUUACGGGACACGGUCUGCCUCCCCUCAGGGAGAAUCUUUCUAAGGUUGACCUCGGAUCAGGUAGGGAUACCCGCUGAACUUAAGCAUAUCAAUAAGCGGAGA